GCGCGAACACUUUACAAUGCGGGCAACCGUGAUAAGGAAACCCCGAGUGCCAGCACAGGCUGGCUGUCCGCCAGUGUAAAAAACUGGUGAAGAAAGGGCCGGGCAAGACCGGUGCCAGCCGCCGCGGUAAUACCGGCGGCUCGAGUGGUGGCCGCUUUUACUGGGCUUAAAGGGUCCGUAGCUGGAUUCACAAGUCCCUUGAGAAAUCUAUCGGCUUAACUGAUCGGCGUUCAGGGGAUACUGUGGUGCUAGGGACCGGGAGAGGUGAGAGGUACUGCCGGGGUAGGAGUGAAAUCCUGUAAUCCCGGUGGGACGACCUAUGGCGAAGGCAUCUCACCAGAACGGCUCCGACAGUGAGGGACGAAAGCUGGGGGAGCAAACC
rnacentral:rRNA from 1 species